rnacentral:rRNA from 1 species
ACGGAAGGCAGCAGUGGGGAAUAUUGGGCAAUGGGCGAAAGCCUGACCCAGCGACGCCGCGUGAGGGAAGAAGAUCUUCGGAUUGUAAACCUUAGUCAACAGGGAAGAAGCAAGUGACGGUACCUGUGGAGGAAGCCACGGCUAACUACGUGCCAGCAGCCGCGGUAAUACGUCGGUGGCGAGCGUUAUCCGGAUUUACUGGGUGUAAAGGGUGUGUAGGCGGGACUGUAAGUCAGAUGUGAAAACUGGCGGCUCAACUGGCAGCCUGCAUUUGAAACUGCGGUUCUUGAGUGUGGGAGAGGUAAGCGGAAUUCCCGGUGUAGCGGUGAAAUGCGUAGAUAUCGGGAGGAACAUCAGUGGCGAAGGCGGCUUACUGGACCACAACUGACGCUGAGUCACGAAAGCGUGGGGAGCAAACAGGAUUAGAUCCCCUGUUA